CGAACGGGUGAGUAACACGUGAGCAAUCUGCCCUUCACUUCGGGAUAACUCCGGGAAACCGGUGCUAAUACCGAAUACGACCACUUCAGGCAUCUGAUGGUGGUGGAAAGUUCCGGCGGUGAAGGAUGAGCUCGCGGCCUAUCAGCUUGUUGGUGAGGUAACGGCCCACCAAGGCAACGACGGGUAGCCGGCCUGAGAGGGUGACCGGCCACACUGGGACUGAGACACGGCCCAG
rnacentral:rRNA from 1 species